CUUCCCCAUCCAUCCGCCAUCCCAACCCCGAGCACGCGCUCCCGCCGCGCCCCGUGGCCUCCGCUUGUCACCCUUCCGGUCGGCGGCGGCCAUCGGACGCGAGGUGCCGCGCCCACUCCGCCAGCGCGGCGUACAUGCGAUGUGAACGCCGAUCGUGCAGGUCCUCGCAAGCGACUCGCGGAUUGCCGGAUCAUUUGCGUGGUUGGUCUGGAGCACAAGAAUUUAACAAAAUAAAUGCGAUUUUUAUUUCCAGAAAGCAGUUUAUUUUCUAUAGGAAAAAAUGUUUUUGUAUAGAGAAAGAUGCCACUGAUUCGUUACUGAGAUUGACUCAUGAGCAGGGGCCAUGACCACUAAGGUCCAUUGGGCAUGAGUAGAAAAGGAGCAAACAAGGAAUUCUUUUAUUGCCACUGUUAUAGCGACAUCGAAUAGGCGCGAAGAGUACUGAAAUAGAUUAUACACUGGUCCAUUUUGGAACACAGCGCCACGGCCAUAAAUGUCUACUGGGCACGAGCAGAAAAAAAACAAACAAGGAUUUUUGUCAUCGCCACUGAUCAUAAUCCUGAAGAUGCUACCCUCAGUUUAGAUUCUACUGCAAUAAUCAUGGAAACGAUGUCAUGGCCCCAUCAUACAACAAGAUCCUAGCAGUAAAUACAUUGGGAGACUCGCAUCCUUGCCUUAAGUACAGCGGUACAGGUAGGAACAUGCUCAAUACUACAAUGGAAGCAGGGACUCCAGAGGAUGCAAGUGCUUAUAAAUUCCACCUAUUUCUUUCAGGUGCCAGCCUGCCAGGACAAUGGAGCAGGAGAGGCAGCGCAGUAGUGGUACUCGUUUGUCUGAAGGUGCAUGUCCAGCUUAAUGCUGAGGGAUAGCACAGCCUGCCACCAGCAGCAGGCAGCCAAUCUGCAAGCAGAUUCCAGAUCUUUUGGCUGCCUUGAUUAUUUUCGCAGAGCGAGCAGAGAUGCAAAUGGAUGCGAGGUGUGGGCAAAACCAAACAGAUAAGUGCAUGCACAUCGCUGACACAAAGAGAUGGAAAGGCAGGGGACGGGAGUGUCCUUAAAAAGCAUGCACGCACACACACAUCUCCUUGUUUUCGUUUCUAAAAAACUUUUUCUCAUUGUUUUCUUGCGCUGUUCUUUUUGCUAGAUCACAACGAUGCAUGCUGCAGUGCUGAUUGAUCGAUAUGGCAUGUGCAUGCUGCUGAUCAAAACCCAAGCCUUAAAGUUCCCUUGGACACAUUUGCCACGCUUUGUUGCAUUUGCUCAAGCAAAGGGAAAGGUGAGCUGGUUGCGCCAGAUAUGUUCUCGUAGAGCCUGGUAGGUAAGAGUAACUGGCCUCCUAGUCCUGCAAGAGGCCUUGUUUCUUUGCUACAAUUGUAAAUCCAUACGUCCACCGCAGUGCCUGGGAUGGAAUGAAGCCAUGAUUGGUGUUGUUGGUUAGUACGACUUAGCAAACAUAUGCAUGAGGUCAUGCAUCUUUUUUAUAAUUAUAAUUAUGUAGUGGGCAAUGUGCAUACAUUGGUUUGGA